UCCACGCCGUAAACGAUGUCAACUAGCUGUCUGUGGCCAUGAGCCGUGGGUAGCGCAGCUAACGCGAUAAGUUGACCGCCUGGGGAGUACGGCCGCAAGGUUAAAACUCAAAUGAAUUGACGGGGGCCCGCACAAGCGGUGGAGCAUGUGGUUUAAUUCGAUGCAACGCGAAGAACCUUACCAUCCCUUGACAUCCACAGAAGAGACUAGAGAUAGACUUGUGCCUUCGGG
rnacentral:rRNA from 1 species